CAGCAGCCGCGGUAAUACGGAGGGAGCUAGCGUUGCUCGGAAUUACUGGGCGUAAAGCGUGCGCAGGCGGUGCUGUAAGACUGAUGUGAAAUCCCCGGGCUCAACCUGGGAACUGCAUUGGUGACUGCAACGCUGGAGUGCGGCAGAGGGGGAUGGAAUUCCGCGUGUAGCAGUGAAAUGCGUAGAUAUGCGGAGGAACACCGAUGGCGAAGGCAAUCCCCUGGGCCUGCACUGACGCUCAUGCACGAAAGCGUGGGGAGCAAACAGGAUUAGAUACCCCUGUAGUCCCUGUCUCUUAUAC
rnacentral:rRNA from 1 species